rnacentral:rRNA from 1 species
CCUACGGGAGGCUGCAGUGGGGAAUAUUGCACAAUGGGGGGAACCCUGAUGCAGCGACGCCGCGUGGGUGAGGAAGUACUUCGGUAUGUAAAGCCCUAUCAGCAGGGAAGAAAAUGACGGUACCUGACUAAGAAGCCCCGGCUAACGACGUGCCAGCAGCCGCGGUAAUACGCAGGGAGCAAGCGUUAUCCGGAUUUACUGGGUGUAAAGGGAGCGUAGACGGCGUGCCAAGUCUGGUGUGAAAGGCCGGGGUCCAACCCCGGGACUGCAGUGGAAACUGGCAUGCUGGAGUGCCGGAGGGGCAAGCGGAAUGCCUGGUGUAGCGGUGAAAUGCGUAGAUAUUAGGCAGAACACCGAUGGCGAAGGCGGCUUGCUGGACGGUAACUGACGUUGAGGCUCGAAAGCGUGGGGAGCGAACAGGAUUAGAUACCCCAGUAGUC